rnacentral:rRNA from 1 species
AGCCUGCGGUUUAAUUGGACUCAAACGCCGGGCAGCUCACCGGAUAAGACAGCUGGAUGAUAGCCGGGCUGAAGACUCUGCUUGACUAGCUGAGAGGAGGUGCAUGGCCGUCGUCAGUUCGUACUGUGAAGCAUCCUGUUAAGUCAGGCAACGAGCGAGACCCACGCCAACAGUUGCCAGCAUGUCCUCCGGGAUGAUGGGGACACUGUUGGGACCGCUCUGCUAAAGAGGAGGAAGGAAUGGGCAACGGUAGGUCAGCAUGCCCCGAAUUAUCCGGGCUACACGCGGGCUACAAUGGUCAGGACAAUGGGUAUCGACACCGAGAGGUGGAGGCAAUCUCCUAAACCUGUCCUUAGUUCGGAUUGUGGGCUGCAACUCGCCCACAUGAAGCUGGAAUCCGUAGUAAUCGCGUUUCAAAAUAGCGCGGUGAAUAUGUCCCUGCUCCUU